rnacentral:lncRNA from 1 species
CAGACGUGAGCUAGUUCUGGAGAAAGGAUGACGGUUGCACAAGGACCCUGAUGGGUCACAUCAGGAUCACAUCCCGUGUCUGAGCUGGCCCAGUCGGUUUGUUCCUGGCAAGUGCAUUCAUGUGUAGGUGUUGAGAUGGAUUCCUGUUUGUGUGCCUGUACUCAGAAACAUGCCUCCCAGUCAUUCACUCAGCCAGUCUGGCGGUGUGCGUUGAGAGCCGGCGGGCGCUAAGCCUUGUCCUGGGCCAUGGACUGAGGGUCCCUACUUGGCUCAGAGCAGUCUCAUCUGACCUUGGACUCACCGUGUGAACCUCCAGCUUGACCCCUAGGCAUGCUGGGAUCCUGGAAUACCAAGCGAAGUUCAGAUACCAGCAUUUUCCAUCUGUCUUAUCUCAGGCA